rnacentral:rRNA from 1 species
GUAGUCUCGCACAGAUGCAUAUCAAUAAGCGGAGGAAAAGAAACUAACAAGGAUUCCCUUAGUAACGGCGAGUGAAGCGGGAAGAGCUCAAAUUUGAAAUCUUCAAGGUUUUACCUUGACGAAUUGUAGUUUAAAGAAGUGUUUUCCUGUUGAAGUUUUGGUAAAAGUUCUUUGGAAUAGGACAUCACUAGAGGGUGAGAAUCCCGUCUAUGAUUGCGAUUUGUAGCUUUGUGAUACACUUUCAAAGAGUCGGGUUGUUUGGGAAUGCAGCCCAAAACGGGAGGUAAAUUUCUUCUAAGGCUAAAUAUUGGCGAGAGACCGAUAGCGAACAAGUACCGUGAGGGAAAGAUGAAAAGAACUUUGAAAAGAGAGUUAAAUAGUACGUGAAAUUGUCAAAAGGGAAGCGUUUAACACCAGUGUUGUUUUCUGAAAAUCAACCUCUGUUAGCUUUAUGCAUGUUUGUUUAGACCUAAUCAGCUAUCUUGCAUGUUCUAUUGUUUGCAGUGGUGCACUUUUCAGUUUACAGGUCAACAUCAGUUUUUUUUACCGUAAAAAAGUUAAAGAAAGGUAGCUCAUGGCUCCGGUCGUGAGUGUUAUAGUCUUUUUCCUAUGCGGUAGGAGAGACUGAGGUCUGCAGUGUAGGCUAUUUGGCUAGAUACUCAGGUGCUAUGUGAUACCAUUUCAUAAACAACUUGUUGAUUAUGUUUUGUCUAUUGCAUACUCGCUUGUACUAUCAUACCUACGCUUAGGAUGUUGAAGAUGUAGCACAUCAU